GAUCCUGGCUCAGGAUGAACGCUAGCGGCAGGCCUAAUACAUGCAAGUCGGACGGGAUCCGUCGGAGAGCUUGCUCGAAGACGGUGAGAGUGGCGCACGGGUGCGUAACGCGUGAGCAACCUACCUCUAUCAGGGGGAUAGCCUCUCGAAAGAGAGAUUAACACCGCAUAAUAUAUCUGACCGGCAUCGGUUAGCUAUUAAAUAUUUAUAGGAUAGAGAUGGGCUCGCG
rnacentral:rRNA from 1 species